rnacentral:rRNA from 1 species
GAUGAACGCUGGCGGCGUGCCUAAUACAUGCAAGUAGAACGCUGAAGGAGGAGCUUGCUCUUCUGGAUGAGUUGCGAACGGGUGAGUAACGCGUAGGUAACCUGCCUGGUAGCGGGGGAUAACUAUUGGAAACGAUAGCUAAUACCGCAUGACAACAGUUAUUGCAUGAUAACUGUUUAAAAGGGGCAACUGCUCCACUACCAGAUGGACCUGCGUUGUAUUAGCUAGUUGGUGAGGUAACGGCUCAACAAGGCGACGAUACAUCACCGACCUGGGAGGGGGAUCGGCCCACCUGGGACUGGGACCCGGCCCAGAAUCCUACGGGAGGCAGCAGGAGGGAAUCUUCGGGAAUGGACGGAAGUCUGACCGAGCAACGCCGCGGGAGUGAAGAAGGGUUUCGGAUCGUAAAGCUCGGUUGUAAGAGAAGAAAGAGUGGGAGAGUGGAAAGUGCACACUGUGACGGUAUCUUACCAGAAAGGGACGGCUAACUACGUG